rnacentral:rRNA from 1 species
CAAUAGCGUAUAUUUAAGUUGCUGCAGUUAAAAAGCUCGUAGUUGGAUUUCGGGUGGGAAUGGCCGGUCCGCCGUUUCGGUGUGCACUUGCUACGCCCACCUUGCUGCCGGGGACGUGCUCUUGAGUUCACGCUCGGGACACGGAGUCGGCGGGGUUACUUUGAGUAAAGUAGAGUGUUCAAAGCAGGCCUACGCUCUGAAUACAUUAGCAUGGAAUAACACGAUAGGACUCUGGCCUAUCUUGUUGGUCUGUAGGACCGGAGUAAUGAUUAAGAGGGACAGUCGGGGGCAUUCGUAUUUCAUUGUCAGAGGUGAAAUUCUUGGAUUUAUGAAAGACGAACUACUGCGAAAGCAUUUGCCAAGGAUGUUUUCAUUAA